rnacentral:rRNA from 1 species
GGAGCUUGCUCCUUUGACGUUAGCGGCGGACGGGUGAGUAACACGUGGAUAACCUACCUAUAAGACUGGGAUAACUUCGGGAAACCGGAGCUAAUACCGGAUAACAUAUUGAACCGCAUGGUAUCAAUAGUGAAAGGCGGCUUUGCUGUCACUUAUAGAUGGAUCCGCGCCGUAUUAGCUAGUUGGUAAGGUAACGGCUUACCAAGGCAACGAUACGUAGCCGACCUGAGAGGGUGAUCGGCCACACUGGAACUGAGACACGGUCCAGACUCCUACGGGAGGCAGCAGUAGGGAAUCUUCCGCAAUGGGCGAAAGCCUGACGGAGCAACGCCGCGUGAGUGAUGAAGGUCUUCGGAUCGUAAAACUCUGUUAUCAGGGAAGAACAAAUGUGUAAGUAACUGUGCACAUCUUGACGGUACCUGAUCAGAAAGCCACGGCUAACUACGUGCCAGCAGCCGCGGUAAUACGUAGGUGGCAAGCGUUAUCCGGAAUUAUUGGGCGUAAAGCGCGCGUAGGCGGUUUUUUAAGUCUGAUGUGAAAGCCCACGGCUCAACCGUGGAGGGUCAUUGGAAACUGGAAAACUUGAGUGCAGAAGAGGAAAGUGGAAUUCCAUGUGUAGCGGUGAAAUGCGCAGAGAUAUGGAGGAACACCAGUGGCGAAGGCGACUUUCUGGUCUGUAACUGACGCUGAUGCGCGAAAGCGUGGGGAUCAAACAGGAUUAGAUACCCUGGUAGUCCACGCCGUACACGAUGAGUGCUAAGUGUCAGGGUGUUUCCGCCCCUUAGUGCUGCAGCUAACGCAUUAAGCACUCCGCCUGGGAAGCACGACCGCAAGGUUGAAACUCAAAGGAAUUGACGGGGACCCGCACAGCGGUGGAGCAUGUGGUUUAAUUCACACCACGCGAAGAACCUUACAAUCCUGACAUCU